rnacentral:lncRNA from 1 species
UGGAUUCGUUCCCCAGGCCAUUUCUCCUUCUUCAUGAAGUGUGUGACCGGAUGUACCACUCAAUAUUCUACCCACAAGGCUGAUGAAGAAAACCACCACUUGACACGAGUGAUCACUAGGAGAGAGGGAGAAAAGAAUGUGACAGGUUGUAGAAUCUGAAGCUUCUGCUAGAGAAUGACAUCACCUCUGCUGGAGAAUGACAUCACCUCUGCUGGAGAAUGACUUCACCUCUGCUGGAGAAUGAUAUCACCUCUGCUGGAGAAUGACAUCACCUCUGCUGGAGAAUGACAUCACCUCUGCUGGAGAAUGACAUCACCUCUGCUGACAUUUCCUUGGUUGCCAAACAUCUUUUAUAAAAGAUGCUCUUCCAAGAGGCCGAAGUCCACUGAAGUACUGAUAGACCCCCGAUGAGCAGAGGGGAUGGAUAAAAAGAAAGCAUUGUGUAGAAGCACAGUGGAAUACUGUUCACCUACAAAUGAGGGGAAUUCCGUCAUCUGCAAUAACAUGAGUGAACUUGGAGAACACCCUGCUAAGUGUGCUCAGGGAGUGGCACUAUUAGGAGGUGUGGCCUCGGUGGAGUAGGUGUGGCCUUGUUGGAGUAGUGUGUCAUUGUGGGCAUGGGCAUGGCCUUGUCCUAGAUGCCCAGAAGCCAGUCUUCUCCUGUCUGUCUUCAGAUGAAGAUGUAGAACUCUCAGCUUUGCCUGCACUAUGCCUGCCUGGACACUGCCAUGUUCCUGCCUUGAUACUGGACUGAACCUCUGAAUCUGUUAGCCAGCCUCAAUUAAAUGCUGUCCUUAUAAGAGCUGCCUUGGUCAUGGCGUCUGUUUAUCCUGUAAAGCCCUGACUAAGACACACUUAUAUGUAGAAACUAAAGCAAUCGAAUUCCCAGAUUGAGAGAGUAGAAUGGUGGAUGCCAGAUGCCAGGGCGUAUGGAGAUACAGAAAGGUAACUCAGGGCACCUUG